rnacentral:ncRNA from 1 species
AGAAACGCAAAGAUUAGGAGUAGUAAAAGCUCAUUAUUCGGUGAAGAGAGCUGCGGGAUGGUGCAACGCAGACCAAUAAGACUUUGAACUUGCCUAGGAGUGGUAACAUAAAUAGAAUUGUCGGAUUAUUCUAUUUGUUUGACGAUUAACCUUCGUUACAGGGUUUUUAAGCUGGGUUCUCAAGAACCAAUUAGAGUGGUACCGCGGUUUGCUGAUAGCAUAUCGUCUCUUCU